AAAAGAGUUAUAGAAGAAAUAAUUAGCAACGGAGGAGAAAAAGAAGAGGAAGGAAAAAGAGAAAGUUGAAAAAAAGAGGAAAAAAGUAAGGAAAAAAGAAUUAAAUAAAGAAAAAAAGAAAAGUUAUCGAAGAAAUAAUUAGCAACAGAGGAGGAAAAGAAAAGGAAGGAAAAAGAGAAAGCUGAAAAAAAGAGGAAAAAAGUAAGGAAAGAAGAAUUAAAAAAAAAGAAGAGUUAUAGAAGAAAUAAUUAGCAACGGAGGAGAAAAAGAAAAGGAAGGAAAAAGAGAAAGUUGAAAAAAAGGAAAAAAGGAAGGAAAGAAGAAUUAAAUAAAGAAAAAAAAGAAAAGUUAUAGAAGAAAUAAUUAGCAACGGAGAGGAGAAAAAGAAAAGGAAGGAAAAAGAGAAAGUUGAAAAAAAGAGGAAAAAAGUAAGGAAAGAAAAAUUAAAUAAAGAAAAAAAAAAGAAAAGUUAUAGAAGAAAUAAUUAGCAACAGAGGAGAAAAAGAAAAGAAAGGAAAAAGAGAAAGUUGAAAAAAGGAAAAAAGGAAGGAAAGAAGAAUUAAAUAAAGAAAAAAAUGGAGAGUUAUAGAAGAAAUAAUUAGCAACGGAGGAGAAAAAGAAAAGGAAGGAAAAAGGAGAAAGUUGAAAGCUGAAAUAAAGAGGAAAAAAGUAAGGAAAGAAGAAUUAAAUAAAGAAAAAAAUAAAAGUUAUCGAAGAAAUAAUUAGCAACGGAGGAGAAAAAGAAAAGGAAGGAAAAAGAAAAAAAAGGAGAAAUUUGAAAAGUGAGAGAAUAAGUGCAAUUACCAAUAAUGAUUAAAAAAAAAGUAUAGUUUGUUUGAUAUUACUGAGAUAAAAUAGAACUGAAGGAAACAACAACAAAAAACAACAAAAAAAAAAACACUAAAAGACGGAAAAUAUUACCAGGAACCAGAAUAAAAAAAUAAAGUUAACGAGCUUGACAAGUGUAAUAAUGAAAGGUUUGGUUGUCACGAUGUUACUGAGAUUAAAUAACACUGAAGGAAACGAAAAAAAGAAAACAUUACAGGAUGGAGAAUGUCACCAGAAACCAGAGUAAAAGUUGAUGAGCUUCACAAGUGUAAUAAUGAAAGGUUUGUUUUUUAUGAUGUUACUGAGAUUAAAUAACACUGAAAGGAACGAAAAAAUAAAAGCAUUAAAGGAUGGAGAAUGUCACCAGAAACCAGAGUAAAAGUUGAUGAGCUUGACAACUGUAAUAAUGAAAGGUUUGGUUGUCAUGAUGUUACUGAGAUUAAAUAACACUGAAAGAAACGAAAAAAAGAAAACAUUACAGGAUGGAGAAUGUCACCAGAAACCAGAGUAAAAGUUGAUGAGCUUGACAACUGUAAUAAUGAAAGGUUUGGUUGUCACGAUGUUACUGAGAUUAAAUAACACUGAAAGAAACGAAAAAAAAAGCAUUAAAAGAUGGAGAAAGUUGAUGAGCUUGACAACUGUAAUGAUGAAAGGUUUGGUGUUUGCGAUAUUAUUGAGCAGAAAUAGAAUGAAAAUAGACAAUGAUAAAAGGUUUGGUGUUUACGAUAUUAUUGAGCAGAAAUAGAAUGAAAAUAGACAAUGAUAAAAGGUUUGGUGUUUGCGAUAUUAUUGAGCAGAAAUAGAAUGAAAAUAGACGCAGAAUGUAAAGAUACCAACGAAAUAUUAAGGGAAAUGAAAAAAUAAUAUAAAUAAAUGGUGAAAAAAAACUAAGAAUUUGUAGAAAACUAAGCAAAGGAAAAAAAAGAAGAAAAAAAACAUGAAAUUUCUUUGACUUGAAAAUUAACGCAAAAUGAAUAAUAAUAAGAAAAAAAAGAGAAAAAAAGAUACAAUAGAAUAACGAUAAUAGAUAAAUAAUAAUAAUAAUAAUAAUAAUAAUAAUAAUAAUAAUAAACAAGUGAAUAUACAAGAAAAUAAAUGAUAAAGAGAAUAAGAAAAAAAUAAUGGAUUGAUUAGAAAAAGAAAAAAAAAAAAAUUACGGUGUUCUGCUUAAGAUCAACACACACACACACACACACACACACACACACACACACACACACACACACACACACACACACACUAAGGGGAGAUAUCCAGAAAUUUGUUAUUGAAGGUUGGGCUAGAAUAUUUU